GACGAACGCUGGCGGCAUGCUUAACACAUGCAAGUCGAACGGAAAGGCCCUGCUUUUGUGGGGUGCUCGAGUGGCGAACGGGUGAGUAACACGUGAGUAACCUGCCCUUGACUUUGGGAUAACUUCAGGAAACUGGGGCUAAUACCGGAUAGGAGCUCCUGCUGCAUGGUGGGGGUUGGAAAGUUUCGGCGGUUGGGGAUGGACUCGCGGCUUAUCAGCUUGUUGGUGGGGUAGUGGCUUACCAAGGCUUUGACGGGUAGCCGGCCUGAGAGGGUGACCGGCCACAUUGGGACUGAGAUACGGCCCAGACUCCUACGGGAGGCAGCAGUGGGGAAUAUUGCACAAUGGGCGGAAGCCUGAUGCAGCAACGCCGCGUGCGGGAUGACGGCCUUCGGGUUGUAAACCGCCUUCGCCUGUGACGAAGCGUGAGUGACGGUAAUGGGUAAAGAAGCACCGGCUAACUACGUG
rnacentral:rRNA from 1 species